rnacentral:hammerhead_ribozyme from 1 species
UUCAGCUGACGAGUCCCAAAUAGAAUGAAAUGUGCAUUCUGGAA